CUCCUGUCUCAGUACUGCCUGUUCUUCUAUGCUGCCUCCAUGCUGCUGAUGGGAGUGAGCAUGCAGCAGCAGCAGCUCACUCCAGCCUCUCCUGUACCUCCAUGCUGCCUCCUGUCUCAGUACUGCCUGUUCUUCUAUGCUGCCUCCAUGCUGCUGAUGGGAGUGAUCAUGUAGUAGCAGCUCACUCCAGCCUCUCCUGUAUCUCCAUGCUGUCUCCUGUCUCAGUACUGCCUGUUCUUCUAUGCUGCCUCCAUGCUGCUGAUGGGAGUGAUCAUGUAGUAGCAGCUCACUCCAGCCUCUCCUGUAUCUCCAUG